rnacentral:rRNA from 1 species
GAUGAACGCUGGCGGCGUGCCUAAUACAUGCAAGUCGAGCGAACAGACGAGGAGCUUGCUCCUCUGACGUUAGCGGCGGACGGGUGAGUAACACGUGGAUAACCUACCUAUAAGACUGGGAUAACUUCGGGAAACCGGAGCUAAUACCGUAUAACAUGUUGAACCGCAUGGUUCAACAGUGAAAGACGGUCUUGCUGUCACUUAUAGAUGGAUCCGCGCCGCAUUAGCUAGUCGGUAAGGUAACGGCUUACCAAGGCAACGAUGCGUAGCCGACCUGAGAGGGUGAUCGGCCACACUGGAACUGAGACACGGUCCAGACUCCUACGGGAGGCAGCAGUAGGGAAUCUUCCGCAAUGGGCGAAAGCCUGACGGAGCAACGCCGCGUGAGUGAAGAAGGUCUUCGGAUCGUAAAACUCUGUUAUUAGGGAAGAACAAAUGUGUAAGUAACUAUGCACGUCUUGACGGUACCUAAUCAGAAAGCCACGGCUAACUACGUG